rnacentral:piRNA from 1 species
AAUUUCAGUCCCUCUUGGUGGAAAAUGG